rfam:Thermodesulfobacterium commune DSM 2178, complete genome.
AGGGUUUAAGAGGUGAUUGCUCCAGGGAUUAAUUCCCUGGGGAGGAAAGUCCGGGCUCCACAGGGGAGGACGCCGGGUAACACCCGGAGGGAGUAAUCCCUGGAAAGGGCCACAGAAAACAGACCGCCAGCGGCCAGAAAGGAUUUUUUCCUUUCUGGUGCGGGCAAGGGUGAAAAGGUGGGGUAAGAGCCCACCGCACCAGGUGGUAACACCUGGUGGCACGGCAACCCCCGUCCGGAGCAAGGCCAAACAGAGCCAUGGGUGCCCCGCCCGCUAAGGCUCAGGUAGGCCGCUUAAGAAGAGGGGUAACCCUCUUCUCAGAGAAAUAAUCACCGCCUGGGGAAAAUUUCCCCAGGUAACAGAACCCGGCUUACUUAAACCCUGCCC